AUGGGAAAGUUCAAGAACAACACUACAAACAACCAGUCCUGAAAAUAGUACAGAAACACAUCAAGAAAUCCUGAUCACAAAGAUUGAUUUCUUAAAGGGAUGGACCCCAAGUUCCCGAAGAACAUGCACUUCGCCUAGAAGCACAACGAGAAGGGCCUGGAGAAGAUGCAGGACAACAACAUGCGAGCUGAGGCUAUCAAGGCCCCCCAAAGCCUAUGGAAGUCCAGCCCAGGGUUCCAAAGAGCGCCAGCCGCAAGCUCGAUUUGCCUACACUGCCCACCCCAAGGCUGGGAAGCAUGCUCGGGCCCACAUUGCCACGGGUCUCAGGCUCUGCUGGCCAAAGGCCAAGGCCAAGGAUCAAACCAAGGCCCAGGCCUCGGCUUCAGCUGCAGCUCCAGCUUCAGUUCUAGCUCCUGCUCAGGCUUCCAAAGGUGCCCAGGCCCCCAUGAAGGCUCUG
rnacentral:lncRNA from 10 species